rnacentral:lncRNA from 1 species
GCCGUGUUUAGUUUCUAAAGACAAAAAUUUCGUGAUACUGUAGCACUUUCGUUUGUUUGUGUUAAUUAUUAUCUAACCAUGGACUAACUAUGCUCAAAAGAUUCGUCUCAUAAAUUUCAACUAAACUGUACAAUUAGUUUUUAUUUUUGUCUAUAUUUAAUACGUCAUGCAUGCGUCUAAAGAUUCGAUGUGAUGGAGAAUCUUGAAAAAUUUUAGGUUUUGGGGUGGAAGUAAACAAAGCCUAAGCAAUCUUGUACCCCAUAAAUUUCAUGUCUGUCGAUGCCUAGUUGCAAUCAGCACAGAUUAAUCGACCUGGACAAUGUAGUUUUCUCCAUUUUAUUCUAUUAGUUUAUUUCUGUUGUUUGAUUUUUGGUUUUAAAUUUCUUCUUUACAAGAAGGGAAUUUAGAUACAUGGAUCGCUUUGCUUUCGCUAUCAAGGUCUUAAUUUUUUUUCUUUUUUCCUGAGCUGAGAAUGUGCCUUUCAGGACCUUAUUGGUAGUUGUCCCAACACUUCGGCCUUUUAUUUGAGUGGGCCACGCUUCGAUGCUGCACUAAAAAGAGCAGCUAGUAGUCACUGAUCUUAAAUUAGGACUGUUUGAUAGGAUCCCUAAUUCCCUGAUUCCAUGUCAAAGACAAAAUUAUGUAGUCUAAAAAAAACAAAUUAUUUUAAGUAGUAGUCUCUAUUCGGAACCAUACAUUUCCAUGAUGGCUGUCAAUGAGUAAUCACUGUGCUAUCUAGCCUGCAGGAAACUGUGGUUGAAUUUUCUUAGCCCAUGACUCAAGUGUUCUUACACGCUGGAUUUCUUCAUGCAUGGUUCAGGCUUUGAACCAUGGCGCAAACUCUUUGUCUAAUUUCAAAAAUAGAGUUAUGGUUCCUCUGGUUCUCUUACUUGUGAGAAGGGUCAAGGACAGGAUCACAUGAAUGGUAAGGCAGUUUUUCACGGUGUGACUAGGUGACCAUGACUCUAGAGGUUUGGUCGAGAUGAGGAUUUUCGGAUGGCGAUUGUGGUGUAUCAAUGAUUAUGUAUCAAAUUAGGUGGGGCAAAAUCGCCAAUGAGAAUGAUAGAAUUAGAAUGUGACGGGAUGUCGCUGCUGAUCUAUUGUUCUAGACGAGGAAGAAGAGCAAUGUGGUUGUGGACUUGUAUGCACUUCUGAGGGCGAUAGAAGUAACUUGCAAGAAGAGUGAUUAUAUAUGGGUCAAGAUUUUACUAGUUGAAAGAAGUGAUUUUGUCUUGAACUGCAUGCUAACAAUUGAUACUUCGAUGCUUUCAAAUAUAAACUAAUAGAAAUAACACAUCAGCUCGCUCAUGAAUUUAGUAUCAGCUCAACAAUUAUUUUUUGAUAACUAUCUUAAGAAGAACAAUCUAUAUAAGUCAAAUGUACUCCCUCUGUCCAGAAAAGAAUAUAACUAUAGGAAAC